rnacentral:lncRNA from 1 species
AGAUUAUUAUCCUAAUUUAAAGAUGAGACAAUUAGAGUCACAGAAAUUAAGUGAAUUCUUUAAGGUAUUAAAACUGACCAGAAUCCAACCACAGGAUAUCUGAGUUCAUAUCUCAUACACCUUUCUGCCAAACCAUUCCCUUGAAAUAUGUAAUUAUUCUUUCUUUUUGAGUACAGAACAUACAGAAGACCUGACUACCUAAUAAAAUGUAAGAUUGAUGACUUCACAUAUGCAAAUGAUGGAAUUCUGGGCCUUCAAACAAUGAUUAAGUGAAUUCAAAGCUUCUACAGAGUUAGUCAGUCCAACCUCUUCCUAAAUGUAUUUUUUAUCUCAGACUUUCCCCAGAGACUAGAUUCCAGGUCAUGCAGAAUCAUGUGAAAUCAUGUGGAUAAAGAAAUUUGCCCACUAUAUUAGUGUCAGACAUUCCUGGAUAAAUGAUGAUGAAGACAGAAGUGGGAGUGAAUGACACUGAAGACAGAAUUGGUAGUUGGAGACAAGGAUGAGGGCAGGAGUAGAGAGAUGCGGAAAUUCACCAGAUGAUGUUUACUCAGAAGCACCCAGGGAAUACUUUAGAGUCUACUGAGGAGGGGAACAGUAUCUUCCUGUUACUGGCUGUCCUUGUGGAAAGAACAAACUUUUAUUAUUCCCUUGGACCAGGAACCUUUCAUAUUCAAUCUCACAGGCAAACUACAGCUUUUUCUGCUAUAACAGAGCCCUACUGACUUUGUCAGUACAUUUCUCACAGAUGCAUCCUAGAAGACCAAUAUCUACCCUGUUAUUUACUCAGAUACGUUUUGAAAUGUUCACCACAAUCUCUAGACACGUGGCUUCUUAAAAAAAAAAAAAAAGGAAAGAAAAAAGAAAGAAAAUGGACUGCCUCUUUAAAGCCCUCUCCUGGAUCCACUCUAGACUAUGCACUGUAUCCAAAACCUUUGUAUCCUAACUGCCCUAUACUCUUCAAUGAUGUCUUCCAAAUCAACAUCAGCAAGUUGUUAUUCAUUGCCUCAAAGAUGCCCAGCAGGCAUUAGACUCUGUAAAGAAAUGAGAAGUAAAAGACUUUCAGAAUUUCUUUUUAAAAUAUCUUAAAUCUUAUUGAAGUAAAAGAAAACAGACUCAUGAAAUAUACAUAUUUUUUUCUAAGAAGAAUGAGUGUAAUCAAAUGUUGAUUGUGUGAUUCUAACAGCAACUGUGUGAGAAGAUAGGAAGAGGGAGCAAUAACUGCUCUAGAUAGAGAGUCUUAAAUUGGAUUUGGAACAAUGGGCAGAGUUACACAGGCUAACCAAAGGAGGUGGAUGUAAUCUGCCAUAUAUCAGAAAGAUGGCAUAGGAGCAGAGUCUACUUAAGGUCACAGAAAGAUAAUUGUCUGGAGUUGGUACGUAAACUAAGAAACAAGUAAUGAGCAUGUCCUACAUGAAGUGAAGCACUGAGCAGGCUAAAUGAUACAGGAUGUGGAUUUGCCAGGUCAGGAUGUACCGUCUAAC